rnacentral:rRNA from 1 species
GAUGAACGCUGGCGGCGUGCCUAAUACAUGCAAGUCGAGCGAACAGACGAGGAGCUUGCUCCUCUGACGUUAGCGGCGGACGGGUGAGUAACACGUGGAUAACCUACCUAUAAGACUGGGAUAACUUCGGGAAACCGGAGCUAAUACCGGAUAAUAUAUUGAACCGCAUGGUUCAAUAGUGAAAGACGGUUUUGCUGUCACUUAUAGAUGGAUCCGCGCCGCAUUAGCUAGUUGGUAAGGUAACGGCUUACCAAGGCAACGAUGCGUAGCCGACCUGAGAGGGUGAUCGGCCACACUGGAACUGAGACACGGUCCAGACUCCUACGGGAGGCAGCAGUAGGGAAUCUUCCGCAAUGGGCGAAAGCCUGACGGGGCAACGCCGCGUGAGUGAUGAAGGUCUUCGGAUCGUAAAACUCUGUUAUUAGGGAAGAACAAUUGUGUAAGUAACUAUGCACGUCUUGACGGUACCUAAUCAGAAAGCCACGGCUAACUACGUG